GACCUCGGAUCAGGUAGGGAUACCCGCUGAACUUAAGCAUAUCAAUAAGCGGAGGAAAAGAAACCAACAGGGAUUGCCUCAGUAACGGCGAGUGAAGCGGCAACAGCUCAAAUUUGAAAUCUGGCCUUCGGGUCCGAGUUGUAAUUCGCAGAGGAUGCUUCGAGCAUGGUCUAGUCUAAGUUCCUUGGAAUAGGACGUCAUAGAGGGUGAGAAUCCCGUAUGCGACUGGGUGCCUAAGCUCAUGUGAAGCUCCUUCGACGAGUCGAGUUGUUUGGGAAUGCAGCUCAAAAUGGGUGGUAAAUUUCAUCUAAAGCUAAAUAUUGGCCAGAGACCGAUAGCGCACAAGUAGAGUGAUCGAAAGAUGAAAAGCACUUUGGAAAGAGAGUUAAAUAGCACGUGAAAUUGUUGAAAGGGAAGCGC
rnacentral:rRNA from 1 species